UAUGUUGUUGUUUGUAGCAGAAGAUGAGCUUGUUCCUAUCAGACUCUUCUUCUCCCAAGUUCGUGCCAGUUUCGGUAAGCUCUUCGGAGAGCUCUAGAGAGGACCUCGUUGGAGAUUUUGAUCUCGAAGCAUGGUCUGAUGACACGUCAGUACUUUAGAGAAGCUCGUACCGGUUGCGGCAAGCUUGUCUUGGCGAACUUUGGAGAAGGAGGUGAGGUCAUGUCGACCUCAAGACUUAUCAUGCUGAGAUCGUUGAGUCAUCUUCCCUGCUUGUCUUCUCCAAUUGAAACAUAUAACAUAGCUUCUCUUCUUCCUUCUCCUCUGUCAUGUAUUCUCUGAUACUCCACGGAAGAAGGUUAAGCGAGUUGAUUCAAGGUCCCUCUUCUCUUUUUCUCUCUUUCUGUUAGGAGCCUUUGCAAGCAAAAGGAUGAGAGGAUAAGCUUGUGGCGAGGUUACCAUCUUGUGACAAGACGGUUCUUGCGAGUUCAAAUCUUAAGCUUUGACAAGAAGAAGACGCAUAGACGGAGAUGAGAGCAUCGAAGUCUUGAUCCAACCAUCGUUACACCACUUGGCCGGGAAGAAUCUCCAGAGAUACAUCAUUUUCCGAGCCAGCUUUAUCUUGAAUCUAAGGAGCCAAUCGAAGCUCUCUUAAACUUCAAACAAUGAUUCAGAGAAAACUCUAGUUUCAUAGACAGUUUCUCUAUCUCGUUCACCAUUAAAGCUUCUUCGUUAACUCAUAAAGCUCUCUCCUUUUGUCGACCAACAGAUCAACGCUCUUGUAAGGAAGCUUGGGUUCGAAAGCACAACCCAAAUUCGGACAUCCCUUCAAGUUUU
rnacentral:lncRNA from 1 species